GUGGGAGGGGGCUUGCUCCCGAAGGCGGUGUGUCAGAUACAUUAAUUUGACUGACACACCGCUUUCGGGAGCAAGCCCCCUCCCAC
rnacentral:antisense_RNA from 1 species